CUGAAAUGUCGAGGAGGUGAGAAAUCAUGAUGGAGCGAAUUUGAAAUUUUUAUCGAUCCCGUCAUUUGUUUCAGCUGCAAGCCUUCAGUCGGCUUCGAUAAAUAAACUCUUUCUCUUUCAACCUGGAAUCAGCCGAAAUCGAGUUCCCGAAAUUCAUCCUUACGUACAUAUGUAAAAAUGAUAAACCCGGGGACCAAAACUCUACGAUUCUGCAUUUCUUGCCCCUCUAUUCUUAGACUACUAAACUCCCACGCGGUUAUUUAAUAUCCCAGACACGUACUAUUUACCGAUGCUUUACACAAUUUGACAAUUCUAUCGUAUAACAGGUUCGCAAGACAAUGCAUACUUAAAAUUGUUUUCGAAUAUAAUUUAGUCUGAUAUAUUUAUCAACUUUCGGUUACUUCCGCGUUAUUAAAACUUAUCUUUCAUCGACUGAAUUUAAUUUCUUCUAAAUAGCUCUUAACUUUAAUAUCGUACUAGUUAAUUGUUUCAUUUCGAUUUCCUACUAUUUAGCAUGGAAAUUAAGGUGUAUCGGUAGGCAACGAUAAUAAAAAUAAUUAUAACCAUAUUAUUUGAGGUUACCUCGUAUAAUAUUUGUUGCCCCGAGCUUUCUUAUUAUCGGAUGCCACUUAAAUAUCGAACGAUUCGCAUCAAUGAUUCGACUUAUUGGUAAGGUACAGUAAGAUGAAGAAGCCGUCUCGAUAUCGGGAGUGGACGAGACGAUCGGCACGAUUCCAAAAAGCAGGCAAUCCCCGAUAAUCUCGAAAUAACGAAAACCUCAUCCCUUCUCUCGCGCAGCAUCGCGACGAUAUGUCGCGGUUCUUCUUUCCGUCUUCGUCGCGCCAAUGCCGCUCCUGUAGCUCCCUCUCCUUUUCACCCAUGGAUGCACGAACACCGGUAUUUUUGGUCGUGGCGCGACGAAGAAAAUGCGAUUUCUGUGUGCAUACGAAUGACCGAGAUCGCGAGCCCAUACGUCGAAAAGAGAAAGACUAUAGACAAGUGGGAUCGAAAGGUGCGAGUGUAUACACGUGGAUUUGAGAAAGAAAAGAAAAGAGAAACGAUGGAUGAAGAAGGAGAAGAAGAGAGAGAGAGAGAGAGAUAGUAGAGAGACAAGGAGAGCAAACAUCAUCGUGAAAACGGUUAGCGCCGUCGGCGUAACCUGAGAGCUUUUCGGACCCUGCAACCAUAUAUGUCCGCCUCGCGCACUCUCUCUCACUCGCGCCACGCUCAAUCCCGUCGUGCUCUCUCGCUUCCACUUACCACUCAAAGAAUCUGCCUUUGCACCCUUCUUCCGCUACUUUUUCAUCGUACCACCGAUUCAACACGGUGCUGUUAAUUUGCCAGUAAUUUACUUCCUCUGUUUUUCACGAGCCAACAUCUUCAACCACUUUUUCUUUUACUUGACUGACAGUGUUAACUAUCGCUGCACGACUGCAUCCUUCCGAAAAUAUGUAUGCGGCCUUCUCUGCUCCACAACAUCGACCAUUCAUCUCGUCAAAAUGCAAGUCAAAAAGUAUAGAGAUAUAGGACAAAUUACAUAUUGGGUCUACAGAUGUCAUAUAAACACAUAGACAUUUAGCUUUUUAUUCACAAACGACGAAUUUUUCUACCAUAGAAGUAACCAGAAACUUAUCGCAUAGUCACAAUUAUUAAAAUAGGUGCAUUGAUCGAUCAGAAGAACGAUAGAUGGAGGAAAGUAUCGAUUCUUUGGUAAGUCGUAAUGUCGAUCGAAAAAUUUUAUAAAUAAUGCCAUAAACGAAAUUUAGUAUAGAUCUGAUAUGCAAUGUAUUUUUAUAUCACAGAAUUUGAAGUUUCUAGAGCUAGAACCACAUCUGCAGUUAGAAUCUUCUUACUACAUAUUUUCGUGUCACUUCCGACAUUACCGACUCGGGACGGAAUACGAUUAUAGUGUCAUCGGUGCUAGGAAUUAAAAUCAAAUUUCCGGCAAGUACUUAUUUCGAAAAUAAAGAAUAACAUCAACAAUAAUUUUACUAGAUUUUUUCAAAGAUACACUACACAACGAUGGCAGCGUUACAGCUCAAAAGGAUCGAGAAACUGAUCAAAGUGUUCUGAGACGUAAAUUAAGUGUAACAAAAGUUAUGGGUUAACAUGUAUCUUUAACUGUUAACCUGUAACACUCGAACGUAGAAGCUUCGACUUGCUUUUCCUUCGAUCUUCUUUUUCGAUAUGUUGACAUAUACGAGUUACUUUGAAGACAUAACGUACCGACGAUGGAAGGUUGUAAGAAAUAAAGCGAGUCAUAUACGUACAAUAUUAUUUAUACAGAGAUGUACGUAAAUGAACAUAAUUUGAUGAAUAACGUACAACUAAGUCUUGUCGUCAAACAUAAUGCUUACAGUUACGCUUAAAAAAUACAUUGGACUUGUGCAAUAGUUGUAACAACGUGUGUAUUUUACCCUUAUUCAGAGCAUUUAUAUACAUUUCAAGGAAUCGGUGCAAUAGUUUGCGUGAAAACUAACAUUUCAAAAUGACAAGGGAUAGAGUUUAUCGUUUCAACUUUCCAGUAUACUAUAAUUUCAUUUUUAAUACUAGCAGAAAUAUCGCAAACUGCCUCGAACGCGUGAUACGUAAAUACUAUAUCGACGGCCAGCGAUAUUAAUUAUGCGAAACAAGGCAUGAAGACGAUGGUUCAUUCGUUCUUCCGAUCGUUGCACCGACCUUGACGCACAAAGAUCUAAUAUUUACAGAAAUGAACAUGCUUAUGCAUCGAACUUUGCAAAUGUAUUGCGAUAAAACGAGAAAUAUGUAAGAAUUUACAUAGCGUAUAUUCAGUGCCAGAGCAUAAACCGAUAGAUCACGGUAAGCGAAUUAACCUUGAGCGACUCGAUCUUCUUGAUCGAUAAUGCGAUCGAUCGGUUUCUAUAGUGCGCGGUGUUAUCGAUUCGUGCUCAAAUCGACAUUUUAAUUCGUUUGACACCGAUCA